AGCAUGGGGAAGGGCACGGGGCUGGGGUUUGCAUUCCAGCCCAAACAACUUGCUGUGAUUUGGGCCAUGUGACAGCCAGUGGUGAGAGUGAGUAAAGAUAAAGCCCAGGGGCAGGUACUACCCACUGCCCUGGGCUGGGCUGGACCCCUUUCCCAUCAGGCUGCGCAGCUUCCAGCCUGGGUGUGACUCCAGCAAUGGGGCCUAGGGGACAGCUGACUCUCCACUGGCACUGUCGACUAUACAUACAGCCCUGAUGGGGAAACUGAGGCCCAAAGAAGGGAAGCUACUUGUCCGAGGCCACACACCGAGUGACAGCAGAGUAAGGAGCAGAAUUUGGGUCUUCUGUGAGACUCCCUUUAUCUGAGCACCUCCCAGGUACAGCUGUGAUGGCGUUUAAUCUGCACACCAACCUCAGUGUGUUCAACCGUAUUCUACGGAUUCUAAGAUGCACGUUUUCAGAUUUUAACAUCUCUGAAAUAGUUUCAGCAGCACCGUUUUUUUCUUAACGUUACAAAUAAAUUAUACAUCAA